UACGUAGGCAGCGAGCGUUGUUCGGAGUUACUGGGCGUAAAGAGUGCGUAGGCGGCCUUCUAAGUCAGACGUGAAAUCCCCGGGCUCAACCCGGGAACUGCGUCUGAGACUGGAAGGCUCGAAUCCGGGAGAGGGAUGCGGAAUUCCAGGUGUAGCGGUGAAAUGCGUAGAUAUCUGGAGGAACACCGGUGGCGAAGGCGGCAUCCUGGACCGGCAUUGACGCUGAGGCGCGAAAGCCAGGGGAGCAAACGGG
rnacentral:rRNA from 1 species